CGCAGGAUAGCCUCGUCGGUGGUCAGGGGUUUUUUCGACUCCCAUCCGAAAGACACUGGGUUCGAUCCCCGGUUUCCGCAG